rnacentral:lncRNA from 1 species
CUGUGGUUGGCUAGACAUCUCGGAGCCAAGAUCUACGACACCGAUCUUUUAGGUCCAAAAAUAAGUUUAAGUCUUUCAAAGGGCUAAAUUAAUUUUUUUUAAAAAAGACUAAAUUAUAAAAAAUUGGGCACCGCCCACAUUGGUGAGCACCGGUCCCUAAUUUUUUACAAUUUAGUCUUUUCUUUGAAAAAAAUUACAUUUAGCUUCUUAAAAAUACUCAUCUUUGGACCCAGGGGGUCAGCACCAGAACUCGUGGCUAUGAGAUAACACGUCUCGGUGCUAUAGAUCUUGGCUCCGAAUUGUCUACCCAUCUACAACAUGACAUCCUAGAUGAUACUGACGUGGCUGGUACCUUAGAGCCACGAAUACUCCGGAACUAUACAUCUUGACAAGACAUGACUCAGUGCUGUUGCAGGCAGCAGCGCCUGCUGGCUCCGCGCCCCAUGCGCUAGCUCAUGCAUGCUAGCUAGUACACUGGCACUAGCCUAGACCUAAAAGCUAGCAUAGAGUAGCUAUAGUAGGUAGCUAUGAUACUAUAAUAACACAAAAAAAAAACAACGUGAGAGCACGAUAAAAAAGAGGACGUCCUUAAAUGCUUGAUAGUAUCUUAAAUAAAUAUUUAUAUAUAGAGGAUUUAUAAUAUAAAAUAAUCUUAAAUGAAUAUACUUAAAAUUGAUAAAUAAAUAUACAUAUAGGCUCUACCUAUAUUUGCUUUAUGCAUGUGUCGAAAAAUUCGAUGUGACGAGGAAUUUUGAAAACUUUUUGGUUUUUGAUUUCAAAAUUUUUUGCAAAAUGUGAAUAGUACCAAUUUCGUUUGUAUUUGACAAAUAUUGUCCAAUUAUGGACUAAAUAGACUCAAAAGAUUCGUCUUGUCAAUUCCGACCAAACUAUGUAAUUAAUUUUUAUUUUUAUCUAUAUUUAAUAUUCCAUACAUACAUCUAAAGAUUUAAUGUAAUAGAAAAUCUAAAAAGUUAUGCACUAUUUUUUAGGAACUAAACAAGGAUAAAGUCAAAAAAAAAAAAAAUCGCAAACUAGUAGCUUUGGACUCGCAACCUGUAGCCUCGGUCAUCCGCAAGCCAGGGAGUGGGCGGCGCAGUGAGCCUGCAAGAGGAGAGAACCCACGCCUAUCGCCUCGGUCAUCCUCCACGAUUAAGACAUAAAGUUAUGGCUACGCUAGUAUUCUAGUAAAUAUGGUUAAUUAUAGAUUAACUGAGUUCAAAAAAUUUAUCUCACAAAUUAUAAACAAACUAUAUAAUUAAUUUUUAUUUUUAUUUUUAUUUAAUAGUUUAUACAUGUGUCAUAAAAUUUAAUGUUACGGGUAAUCUAAAUUUUUUUAUAAAAUUUUUAGAACUAAACAAGACCAUAGACUAUACGUACUGUAGGCAUGCAUGGUGUCACACAUCAUGACCAGUAGCUUUCCUACUUCUAAUUGCAGACAGCCUAUUGAGCAUACGCUCUAGGCCUUGUUUAGGUUACCUGAAAACUAAAAAAAUUUCAAGAUUCUUUGUCACAUCGAAUCUUUCAGCACAUGCAUAAAAUAUUAAAUAUAAAUAAAAAUAAAAACUAAUUGCAUAGUUUACCUGUAAAUCGCGAGACAAAUUUUUUAAUCUUAGUUAGUCCAUAAUUAGAUAAUAUUUGCCACAAACAAACGAAAUUACUACAGUAGCGAAAUCCAAAAUCUUUUCGCAUCUAAACAAGGCCUUAGUUCACUCAAAAACCAAAAAAAUUUCAAGAUUCCAUGUCACAUCGAAUCUUUCGACAUAUGCAUAAAGCGUUAAAUAUAAACGAAAAUAAAAACUAAUUACACAGUUUAACGGUAAAUCGCGAGACGAAUCUUUUGAUCCUAGUUAGUUCAUGAUUGGACAAUAUUUACCACAAACAAAUGAAAGUGCUACAGUAGCAAAAUCUAAAAUCUUUUCGCGUCUAAACAAAGCCUUAUUUAAUUUUAAAAAUUUUUACAAUUUUCAGAUUUCUCAUUACAUCGAAUCUUAUGGUAUAUAUAUAGUAUUAAAUAAAAAUAAAAAUAACUAAUUAUGCAGUUUAUUUAUUAUUUGCGAGACGAUUUUUUUAAACCUAAUUAGAUAAUAUUUGUAAAAUAUAGACAAAAUUGCUAAAGUAUUUAUUUUGCAAAAUUUUUUAAACAAAACAAGGCCCUACUGAGAUUCCGAAAAAGCUGCAGUGCACGAGGAGAGGACCUACACCUGCUGCAAGGUCAUCCUCCCUCCACUCUAUUCCAUAUCAUUUUCACCUGCUUCUUCUUAGCUCGGAGCCAAGCUUGGAGGUACCGGCCACGUCAGCGUCACCUAGGAUGCUAUGUUGUAGGUGGGUAGAUACUUCGGAGCCAAGAUCUAUGGCGCCGAAACGUGUUAUCUCGGAGCCACGAAUUCUGGCGUCGACCC